GCUUGUGGUGAGGGUGCGGGUGAGGGUGAGGGCGGGGUAGCAUGGACUGAAGGUGGGGUUCUGGCGGUGGUGAUGGGGGACGACAGCGCUGGAGAUGAAGACGGCUAGGAGGAGGGAGUGGAGGAAAUAUCAGACCGCGCCUGGCCACGCCCUCCUCUGGCUCAGCCACCUCCUCCUCCUGGCUCACCCUCCCACACCCAGGACCAAUCCCCUCCACUCGCUGCAGCCCCAGCCCUGCUCCUUGCCUCCGCCGUGCCUGCCAGACCCACUGGAGAAACCACCCACUGAGUCCCCCUUCCCGCAGUGCCGCCGCGCCGGGUCCCCCCCUCCCCCGCCCCCACCCCGGCCAGCCCGCACAGGGACACGGAGACACGCGCCGCACAGGUAGCUCUGGAGCGAAGUACCCUCUCCAAGGCGGCCCAGAACACCGAGGGCCCCCGAAGAAGGGGGUUCCACCAGAGGCCCCGGCCACCUCCUGAUGAGAUGGAGCUCUCACUGGGUGUCUGCAAGGGUCUCAGCCAUUUCCGGGUUUGAGAAUCCUUUCCUCUUCCCGACAACUGCUCUCUCCCAUUCUACUGCUGCCGGCGGCGCCACACAGGGAGCUAGAGUGACAUGCCCAGGCGACUGAGCUUGGAGCGCUGCAAGGGACACAGAAGCAUCCUGGCCUCCCCCGCCUCUCCCAUCGCAAGACCUCCCUUGAUUCCAGUCCCAGGGGAAUUCCUGAGCAGGAGGGUGGCGGCUGAAGCAGGAACAGACACGCUCUGCCCGCAGGCGACAUGCAGACGGCCACCCGGAGGGCCCUGGGAGUUCUCAGGUGCGAUGGUCCCCAGCUGCUGACUCAGCACGUCCGCCCAGGCAGCACCUCCGUGCGCAGCACACACCCAGCUCGCCGGUGUCGGGGCACCGAGCCCAGCCCCAAAGGCACGAUUGGGAGGGCCUGCGCGCAGAUACGGCCAGGACACAGCUAACUGUGCACCUCAGAGAAACGAUGCAUUAUUUUUCAGAAUAAAAGUAUCUGGCCCCAAAGAACUGAAAACAGGGACUUGAACAGAAUCUUUUCCACCCCGGUUCACAGCAGCAUUAUUUGCAGGAGCCAAAAGGUGGAAACAGCCCAAGCGUCCACUGAUGGCUGAACACAUAAACGAAACGGGGCACACCCACACAACGGGCACCAUUCAGCCCCGAGUCACGAAGGGCCGACACGCACCACCACGUGGACGUACCCUGAAAACAUACGCUGAGCGCGAGAAGCCCGUCUCGAAACGACACAUACUGCCAUGAUUCCACUUAAGUGAGGGCCCCAGAGGAGUCAAAUUCAUAGAGACAGUAGAAUGGUGAUUCCCAGGCACUGAAGAGAGCGGGGUGGCGGGGGGCGGUGAGUGUUUAAUGGGUACGCAGUGGGGGAAGAUGAAAUUCUGCGGGUGGAUGGUGGUGACGGCUGCACAGCAGUGUGAGCGAGCUUCACGCCGCUGAACGUGCACGUGAAAGUCAUUAAAGCGGGAACUUUUAUUAUGCGUCUUUCACCACCAAGAAAGCACCAGUCCCGCUCCCCAGUAUCUGGGACAUGCUUAUACUAAACACGUGGAGUGGACUCAUAUUAAAAAUCUGUUCGUUGUUUAUCUGAAACCUAAAUACUCAGGAUACACGCUACGAAACUAUUAACUGUCUGAAAUAGCAAUUUCACUGGGUCUCCCGCAGUUUUAUCUGCUAAGUCUGGCGGCCCGGCCCUCUGUGGGGCGUGGGGAGAAGCCGGACCGAAGUCACUCAGGCUCCCCACCGGCAACUCCCCGCCACGCGUGGGCACGCUCACACGUGCACUGCCUUCCAGGCUCCCUGGAAAAGGGCCUCAGACCCUGCCCAUGCCAGCGGCAGGAGGGCAGAGGUUGACGUCAGAGCAGGGUCUGCCUUCCCACAGCCCCCACCUCCUUGGAGAACGGUGGGCCUCGCCGUCUCAGUCAACAGGAAGAUACAGUUAUCCCCAUCUCACAGAUGGGAAGACUGAGGCUGGGAGGGUUCUGAGACUUGCUCAAUGUCUCAAACGUGUUGCCUAGUGCUGGUCUCCUUCCACUGGCCCGAGUGCCUCCCUGUCCUCACUGAAGGGAAGGAAAUGAAAGUGCUGGGCACCUGGGGGCCCACCAGCAGCCCAGAGGUCCCAGGUACGGAGAUGAAGGCUCCUGGAAGAUGAGGGCAGAGUGGUGGCCUGGCCACCCUGCUAGCCUGCACCACCCCGUCAGUGGCCAGGAGCUGCUGAGACCUAGAACACCGUCAGGCAGCUGGGCAGGAGCCCACGGGGCCAGCGGCCACGCCCAAGCCCCGCACGGGAGGGACGCCUGCCGGGACACUCCCGCAGCAGCACAAACCCACCAGAAAGGGCCCCCACCACCCAAGCACACGGAGGGCUCCCAACCUGGGCAGCCGGGUGACCUCGGCAUUUGCCCGCUUCGCGGCUCCCCAGAGACGGACCCUGACCUCCUGUGGGGCCUGGGGGCUGUGGGAACGGGUGGGCCAGCCUACCUCCUGACCUCUCCAGCUCAGUUUCUGCAGGGUGGUCGAGCUGACGCAUCGGUCAGGGAAGGGCCAGGUGUCUACGCAGCCCGGGAAUUCUGCUCCCUCAGGCACCCAGGGUCUUGGUCUCCGCUCUGUUCAGCCACACCCAGCAGGCGAGGUGGGACGGUCCCACCCAGGGCAGUCAGCGCCAUCCCCAGAGAGGGGUCAAAGGGGCGGGACAGGCCCCACAUGACCUGGGCAAGGAGAGGCCCCUUCUGAUGCGGGCUGCCAGGCCCCUAGGCUGGCCGUGGGCUGGCCGUGAGUGGGGUCCUGCUGGCGCUGUCUUCCCCCCACCCUCCGACGUCUCUGCAGAGCCUGCAGGGCCC